GGCGAAUACUGAAACCAGUGGGGAAGUUGAUGAUGUUCAGAUACAGAGUGUGUUGGAAGCAAACUGGAAAGCAGUGAUAUAUCACAAGAGGAAUUGAGACGAUCCACCUGUACCUUGGCGGGGCGACCCGGAUUGCCGGUUCUUCGCAGCCAUGGCGGCUCUGGCUUCUCUUUUGCCCCUACAACUCAGAUCUGAGCCUCUACCUUCUUCCAAUCAACACCCCUCUCGUUUGGUUUCUUGGAAUGGAAAACAAAGUAAUCGCUUUAUACUUGGCCAUUAUGCAAUUUGCUUAGUAAAUGGAUACAUAUAAGCAUGUUAACUGUAUAAGGUUCUAAACCUUGAGUUGAUGAAUGCAAAUUCCUCAUUUUUCUCAUGUA